rnacentral:lncRNA from 1 species
CUGUCACAUUGCCCUCCUCACUGUUUUCAUACACACUACACAGGGUUCUACACCCCAGCUUUUCCACUGGCCUUACCUCUGUCUAGGAUACUUUUGAUAGGCAUAUCUCCUCUAGGCUGUUGCUCAAAUGUCACAAUCUUAGAACUUCCCUGACUACUCUUUCUAAAUAUCACCCCCUCUCUCUAUUUCAGUAUCCCGAUUUAAUUUUAAUCACGGCACUUACAAACACCUGAUACAUUACUUGUAUUUGGGGACCACAUGAUCCCAACAGAAUGUAAGCUCCAUGAGGAAAAGGUUGAUUUUCUCUGUCCUAACACACACAGUUGUGCUUGACACAUACUUUGGAGAGAAUGAAUGAAUGAUGGAAUGAACAAACAAAUUUAAAUUUGUUGAGAGAGGCAUAGCUAGACAGGCUGAGGAUUCUGCUAUGAAACAUAUUCAGGGAUGACAAGAUGGUGACAAAGCCAUGGUCUUUAUCUCACCUACGUGGUGGUGUCCUUGGGUUCCCUCGGCGUUGACCCCUUUCCUAACAGAAUGGAAGGUCCUGUUGUCUCUUCCACAUAUUACUCGCAGUGAGCGAAAGAGGGCUUUACCACACCAGGCCUGCAGAUUCCAGUCUGAAGCUUUAUCUAUCCUGCCCCUUGGGGGACUGCAGCUGGCUUUCCCCCAUGAGACCUAUUUUGUAUUGAACAGGAAAGCACAAACAAUCACAAUGCCCAGCAAAGAUAAAGUGUUUUCCAUGCUCUGUUACGACAGUGAUCCCCAUAGAGACGUUAUCUUCAGUUUACGGAGACUUUUUUCUGAGUCCCAAAUUGCAGGAAUCUGUGGGGUUUUCCCCCUAACCUUGCCCUUCCGGCCUUUGUGGAUCCUCCUGGAAUGGUCCACGGGCAUCUAUAUCUGCUGUUCCCCAAUCCCACCAGCAAGGGGCGCGCGAGAUGAAACAGUUCUGUCCUGGGAUGUACCACCGAGGGUAGCGGAAAGACCACCCACUCUGGAAGGUACCAUUGGGAGAGGGCGUGUGACAACAGAGAGGGUCCCCUUACACCGCGUCGGGCAUGGACCACAGUUCCCAGCAGCGGCACUCAUGGCGCCACUAGGUCCAUCCCCACUCGCUCCUCUUCGUCUUCCCACUGCUUUUGAAUCCGAGUGGACACAGGAGAAAUAUCAGUGGGCAAGUAGCAUCAACAUUGGGACCUAUAGAUCAGGAUCGCCCAAGCUGGAUGAACCUGUGGUUGACCAGCAGCCCAGUGUUGAGCAACCUCAACAAGAGGAACCACCAGCUGGGAUUCAGGAUAUCAUACCUGGGAAGGAGGAAGUAAAUGGAGAGGAUCCACUGAAUCAUAAUGAAGAGAAGGAAAAGGAUGCCUCUGGAGAUUCUGACCUGGAAACUGAUCUCCAGGAAUUGGCUGAGGCAAAGACUGGGGGUAAAGGUGGAGAUGGUCAUGAUGUCAGGGAGGAGUUUGCAUCAAAUACAGAGCCUGUUGAAAUGCCAGAAGCAGGUGAAGGGCAACCAUUUGCUUGAAAGAAGAUAAACUGAAACGAUUUAUGCUGUUCUUAUGUUGUGUAUUUGACUGUUAAAGUUCUGUGAAUAAAGUUUCAUUUUCUACUUGCA